UUCUGGUUGGUUGGUUGGUGGUUCCUGUGGUAAUGUUGUGUUGUGUUCUGGCACGGGUCGUGUUGCAUGGUGUUGGUCGUUUCUGAGGUUCUCAGUUUUUGCAAUUGGUCCAGCUUACUGGCACCCAUGUGACACAAAGUCUGGUUUUUUAUUCAUGGUAUUGUAUUACCAUCUGAGUUUUUCAGAAACGGCUAAUACUCUUACUAAAAUGUACUACUAUUUCAAACAAUUUUUUUA
rnacentral:lncRNA from 1 species